rnacentral:tRNA from 1 species
GCCGCGGUAGCUCAGCGGUAGAGCAGCUGCCUUGUAAGCAGCAGGUCGAGGGUUCGAAUCCCUCCCGCGGCU